ACCAUGUGGCGACACAGCGCGGAACCCGAAAACGACCUCUCAGUUCGGAUCGGAGUCUGCAACCCGACUCCGUGAAGCUGGAUUCGCUAGUAAUCGCGCAUCAGCCAUGGCGCGGUGAAUACGUUCCCGGGCCUUGUACACACCGCCCGUCAAGCCAUGGGAGCCGGGAGCGCUUGAAGUGCGUCGCCGCGAGGCGCGCCCUAGAGCGAGACCGGUGACUGGGGCUAAGUCGUAACAAGGUAGC
rnacentral:rRNA from 1 species